CGGCACAGCAUGGGCCACAGGGGGUGUGUGAAUAGCGAUAGGCCCACGGAUAUUUUCUUUGUUGAUCCAGUUUACCAUUAUUAUUCAAAAAAACAAUUAAAUAGAAUAAUGAAUAAUAAUAAAAAUAAAAAGGGAAAAUUAAAUUGGGAUUUUAGGUUUACCUCUUGAGAGUUGAGACGGUUGAAAUUGCUCGUGGAUCCUUCUCCCUUUUCACGCAAAUACGGCGGCGGUGCACGGAAUCGUCUUCUCCGAUCAACCUUCUUGGCGAGCCUCCGUCUUUAUGGCGAACAAACUCCGCUUCGGCUCAACUUCUUGAUUCAAACUCAUUCGAUCCUUCUCUCAAAUCAUGAUUGCUGUUGAUUGAAAGAUGACGAAUUUGUGAAGAACGAUGACGAUUAGAGGUUGCGGAAGUUGUUGAAGAUUGAAGAAUCUGGUGAUUGAAGGAUGAAGAUGAUGAUGAAGAUGCGAAGCAAUGCGUUCUUUAUUGAUGUUUCUGAGUUUGAUGUGGUGUUGUUGCAGGUUAUUGAAGACCGGCGAUGUGGAUUGUUGAAGAUGAAGGUGAUGAUGUAAGAAGCUGCGAAGAUCCAGAAACUGGUUGAUUGUGUCUCUGAAGAUGGAGAAGAAUGAUGGAGGUUCUGGAAGUGAAAGUGAAGAUGAUGAAUGAUGAAGGGAGUGGUUCAGAGAUGAAGAUGAUGGAGAAGGUUAGAGAAAGAGAUGAAGAAUGGGAGAAGAUGAAUGAAGAAAAUGGUGGAGUGUGAUAAGGGUGAAGGUGAGCAAAAAAUGGUGGAGUGAGCGACUGAAAAAGAGAGACUGAAGAAUGGCCAAGGCUUCUGCUUAUAUAGAGAUUCAGGUUUUGUUCUGUUCCCAAUUUCCUUCUGGAGUUUUUGUUAUGAUUCAGUUAGGAUCGGUUAUCAAAUCGGUUAGUGAGCUGUUAGUUGGUUGCAAGGUAGUUAGAAUUCUGUUAAGUAGUUUGGGAUAGUCUGUUCAAUGUUAGGGUGAAACUGAGUUGACAGUUAGUUAAAGGAUGGUUAUGACUUGGUUAGGUUAGUUAUUGAGUAACUGAUUCUGUUAUGAAGCUGGCAAGUAGUUAAGGUUUAUAACUGAUUCGGUUAUGUGUUAGAGGGUGGUUCUGGUAGUUAGACUGAUAACCGAUUCUAUUUUCUGUUAUAGGUUAGAAAAGUUUGUUACAAAAAUAGGUUAGAAUUAGUUAGAAAUAGUUAGGUUGUUAGGAUAGGUUAGUUACCUGUAAAACUGAAAUUGGUUAGGAAGUGGUAGUUAGGGAAUUUAGUUAAAUUCUGUUAAUUGUGUGAAUUAGCUUGGAACUGUCAGUGAUUUUUUCUGGUUUUUCUUAUUGGUUUUGUAAUGUGAUUGGUCAUUGUGUGGUUGAGUGUAUUGGAACUGGUUUUGUAUAGUUAUGUUUUGAAUGUGGCUGUUGUAGGUUUUUAUGUGAUAGUAAUAGGUGGUUAGAGAUGUUGGUUAAUGGAAUGCUGCUGGGUUGAUAAUUAGAACUGCUUGAAUGCCAUUUUUUGUUUUUUUGGAAUGCUGCAGGGAUGUUUUUAAUAGCUGCUGUUGCUGAAGUAAUGUCGACUGUGAGUCAUUGAUGUUUGCUGUUGAUGAGUAAUCUCUUUCCCUUUUUUUUUUUUGAACUGAUGCAAGGAUGUUCUUGUAUGCUUGAUGGAUUUUGUAUAUGGCUGUUUGUGGAUUUAAAUAGUGAUGUUGUUCUCUCUUUUUUGUAUGCAGGACUGCAGCAAGUAUAUGGCAUUGGACUUGAAGGGUGAUGGAAUGGGAAGAAGGACUCUGCGGUUUAGACUUAGGCUUGUAUUAGUAAUAGGUUUUUGUACUGGUGUAUGUGGACCUGCUGUGUAUAAUAUGGUAUUUGAAAUGUGUGGACUUUGAUGUAAUGUGAAUGAUUAAAGUAUGAUAUGAAUUUUUUCGUAA